rnacentral:rRNA from 1 species
ACGAGUUUGAUCAUGGCUCAGGAUGAACGCUAGCGGCAGGCUUAACACAUGCAAGUCGAGGGGCAGCGCGAUGUAGCAAUACAUUGGCGGCGACCGGCGCACGGGUGCGUAACACGUAUGGAACUUACCCUUUACUGGGAGAUAGCCCGGAGAAAUCCGGAUUAAUAUCCCAUAAUAAACGAAGUGGCAUCACUUGUUUUGAAAGCUCCGGCGUAAAGGAUGGCCAUGCGCACGAUUAGCUAGUAGGUGAGGUAACGGCUCACCUAGGCUACGAUCGUUAGGGGGCCUGAGAGGGUUAUCCCCCACACUGGUACUGAGACACGGACCAGACUCCUACGGGAGGCAGCAGUGAGGAAUAUUGCGCAAUGGAGGCAACUCUGACGCAGCCAUGCCGCGUGCAGGAAGAAGGCGCUACGCGUUGUAAACUGCUUUUAACCGGGAAGAAACCCUCCGACGUGUCGGAGGUUGACGGUACCGGAGGAAUAAGCACCGGCUAACUUCGUG